GACAGAGGGCGCAAGCGUUUGUUCGGAAUUACUGGGCGUAAAGGGCGCGUAGGCGGCGUGGUAAGUCACUUGUGAAAUCUCUGAGCUUAACUCAGAACGGCCAAGUGAUACUGCUGUGCUAGAGUGCAGAAGGGGCAAUCGGAAUUCUUGGUGUAGCGGUGAAAUGCGUAGAUAUCAAGAGGAACACCUGAGGUGAAGACGGGUUGCUGGGCUGACACUGACGCUGAGGCGCGAAAGCCAGGGGAGCAAACGGG
rnacentral:rRNA from 1 species